ACAGCAAUCAACACAAAAAAAGCAGAUUGAACUGUUGAACCCGGUUUCGCGCCACUUCUCCGCAGUUUGAGCUGCGCGCUGCUCUCUCCUGCGUCAGUGACUCACGAAACACCACAGAGGGAACGACAGCCUCCUGACAUGACAGCUCUUCUUGAGACAUUGUAAUCCAACUUGGAUGGAACAACUUCGUGACCUUAAUGACACCCAGCAACACGAGCUAGAGAGACACACAAGCACCACAGGGGAGGAUCUGCAGCAAAGGGACCACCGGAAAUCAAACCUUGGCCGCUAUGAUGACGACAACAUGGGGCACUUGAGUGUGAAUCUAGCCUUUUCAUUUUUAUUUACAACAUUAGCAUUGAAAAGAGCAAAAGUUGAUGCUUGAGAUGAUUUUGUUUUUACUGAAGAGGAUGUAUGUCCUCCCCUUGUCCUUUAUCCCCUUACUCUUUCUUUUUAGGUGUGAUUACGACUACCAGCAUGGACCUCAACACCUUCUUUGCUGUUCCACUAGUGUGACCCAUGAUCGGAUACAAGUUGUCAAGGAUAAACGGGAAGAGAAUCAUGUCAGCCCACAGACAACCGAUUGACCUGUGAGUCUUCAAGCAGUAAUGAUGACUACUCCUGCCUUAAGUUCCAGUUUCCUGAACAUCAUGUCGG